CUUGCAAAAGACUAAAAUCCCUACCAGGGAUUGAAAC
rnacentral:other from 1 species